rnacentral:rRNA from 1 species
GUGGGGAAUAUUGGGCAAUGGGCGAAAGCCUGACCCAGCAACGCCGCGUGAAGGAAGAAGGUUUUCGGAUCGUAAACUUCUAUCCUAGGUGAAGAUAAUGACGGUAGCCUAGAAGGAAGCCCCGGCUAACUACGUGCCAGCAGCCGCGGUAAUACGUAGGGGGCAAGCGUUGUCCGGAAUGAUUGGGCGUAAAGGGCGCGUAGGCGGCCUUCUAAGUCCGAUGUGAAAGUCCUGCUUUUAAGGUGGGAAUUGCAUUGGAAACUGGAGGGCUUGAGUGCAGGAGAGGUAAGUGGAAUUCCCGGUGUAGCGGUGAAAUGCGUAGAGAUCGGGAGGAACACCAGUGGCGAAGGCGACUUACUGGACUGUAACUGACGCUGAGGCGCGAAAGUGUGGGGAGCAAACAGGAUUAGAUACCCUAGUAGUCC